AGUGGCAAACGGGUGAGUAACACGUAGUCGACCUACCCUGUGGAUCGGGAUAACGGAAGGAAACUUCCGCUAAUACCGAAUACGCUCUGUGGAGGAAAGUGGGGGAUCUUCGGACCUCACACCAUAGGAGGGGGCUGCGGCCUAUUAGCUUGUUGGUAGGGUAACGGCCUACCAAGGCUGCGAUGCCUAGGGGGUGUGAGAGCAUGGCCCCCACCACUGGGACUGAGACACUGCCCAGACACCUACGGGUGGCUGCAGUCGAGAAUCUUCCACAAUGGACGAAAGUCUGAUGGAGCGACGCCGCGUGCGGGAUGAAGGCCUUCGGGUUGUAAACCGCUGUCAGAGGGGAUGAAACGUAGGGGAGCUAUCUCCUCUAUCUGACAUAUCCUCAGAGGAAGCACGGGCUAAGUUCGUGCCAGCAGCCGCGGUAACACGAACCGUGCUAACGUUGUUCGGAAUUAUUGGGCUUAAAGAGCACGUAGGCGGUGUGCUAAGUCAGUGGUGAAAUCCUACGGCUCAACCGUAGAACUGCUUCUGAUACUGGCAUGCUUGAGGGAGGUAGGGGUGUGUGGAACUUCCGGUGGAGCGGUGAAAUGCGUUGAUAUCGGAAGGAACGCCGGUGGCGAAAGCGACGCACUGGACCUCUUCUGACGCUGAGGUGCGAAAGCUAGGGGAGCGAACGGGAUUAGAUACCCCGGUAGUCCUAGCCGUAAACGAUGGGCACUAGAGGGUAGACGCUCCGAUUGCGUUUACUCUCGAAGCAAAAGUGUUGAGUGCCCCGCCUGGGGAGUAUGGCCGCAAGGCUGAAACUCAAAGGAAUUGACGGGGGCUCACACAAGCGGUGGAGCAUGUGGCUUAAUUCGAGGCUACGCGAAGAACCUUAUCCUGGGCUUGACAUGCACGGAUACUGCCCGUGAAAGCGGUGUCAGUUGCCUUCGGGUGAAACGUGCACAGCUGCUGCAUGGCUGUCGUCAGCUCGUGUCGUGAGAUGUCGGAUUAAGUUCCUUAACGAGCGAAACCCCUGUCGCUAGUUGCUAACAGUUCGGCUGAGGACUCUAGUGAGACUGCCGGUGUUAAACCGGAGGAAGGUGGGGACGACGUCAAGUCCUCAUGGCGCUUAUGCCCAGGGCUGCACACGUGCUACAAUGGGAAGGACAAAGGGAAGCGAGACCGCGAGGUGGAGCAAAUCCCAAAAACCUUCCCCCAGUUCAGAUUGCAGGCUGAAACUCGCCUGCAUGAAGGUGGAAUCGCUAGUAAUCGCAGAUCAGCUAUGCUGCGGUGAAUGUGUUCCUGAGCCUUGCACACACCGCCCGUCA
rnacentral:rRNA from 1 species